rnacentral:rRNA from 1 species
AGUGAACGCUGGCGGUAGGCCUAACACAUGCAAGUCGAACGGCAGCACAGUAAGAGCUUGCUCUUACGGGUGGCGGGUGGCGGACGGGUGAGGAAUACAUCGGAAUCUACUUUUUCGUGGGGGAUAACGUAGGGAAACUUACGCUAAUACCGCAUACGACCUACGGGUGAAAGCGGGGGAUCUUCGGGCCUUGCGCGAUUGGAUGCGCCGAUGUCGGGUUAGCUAGUUGGCGGGUUAAUGGCCCACCAAGUCGACGAUCCGUAGCUGGUCUGAGAGGAUGGUCAGCCACAUGGGAACUGAGACACGGUCCAGACUACUACGGGAGGCACCAGUGGGGAAUAUUGGACAAUGGGCGCAAGCAUGAUCCAGCCAUACCGAGUGUGUGAAGAAGGCCUUCGGGUUGUAAAGCCCUUUUGUUGGGAAAGAAAAGCAGCAGGUUAAUACCCCGCUGUUCUGACGGUACCCAAAGAAUAAGCACCGGCUAACUUCGUG